rnacentral:rRNA from 1 species
AGUGAACGCUGGCGGUAGGCCUAACACAUGCAAGUCGAACGGCAGCACAGAGGAGCUUGCUCCUUGGGUGGCGAGUGGCGGACGGGUGAGGAAUACAUCGGAAUCUACUCUGUCGCGGGGGAUAACGUAGGGAAACUUACGCUAAUACCGCAUACGACCUACGGGUGAAAGCAGGGGACCUUCGGGCCUUGCGCGAUUGAAUGAGCCGAUGUCGGAUUAGCUAGUUGGCGGGGUAAAGGCCCACCAAGGCGACGAUCCGUAGCUGGUCUGAGAGGAUGAUCAGCCACACUGGAACUGAGACACGGUCCAGACUCCUACGGGAGGCAGCAGCGGGGAAUAUUGGACAAUGGGCGCAAGCCUGAUGCAGCCAUACCGCGUGGGUGAAGAAGGCCUUCGGGUUGUAAAGCCCUUUUGUUGGGAAAGAAAGCCAGCUGGCUAAUACCCGGUUGGGAUGACGGUACCCAAAGAAUAAGCACCGGCUAACUUCGUGCCAGCAGCCGCAGUAA